UAAAAUGAUAAAAUGUGCACUGGGCUCCGAGUAGUUGUACUCCAACUACAUUAUGGAUAAUUUAAUGCCUAGAAAGCUAUUUCUGAUCU